CUCCCUGCCUCCUUAACCAAACGCUGAAUUACCAAAUGCUACUCCUAACGGUUUGCCCAGGCUCCGGCUAGAGGCCACUGUUAAUCUCAUCGGAGAGUGAGCUUCCAGAGGGCACAGAUACAUCACAGCUGAUUUCGGGGGCUGCAGCCCAUCACUGCAGGGUUUGACAUGAAGGAAUGAUGCUGGUUUCUAAGCCAAGGCCUCUAAUACCGUGUUCAUCCUGGAGUUUGUCCUGGUACCUUAAUUCUAACAUGAAUGAGGCUAACAAGAACAAGUGAGUUUGGUUAUGGAAGGUGAGACAUUCCUUGAAAAGUAGAACGCAUAUAAAGCUUGGGAGCUAUGUAGCUACACCCCAUAGUAGUGUUAGGGUCUGCUCCUGCUUUUAUACAAGGCUGGAUGCAGCACACCUUGCAGCACCACCCACUGCCAGAACCCAGCCCUGUCACACCCCCCUCCCAGAACUGCUGAGGGCCUUCAAGGUAUGCAUUACUGCAGGAAAUGGAUCAUGGUCUGGACACCACAGAAAGAACCAUCACCUUUCUAUUGAGCUGUAUUGAUGGCAGUAAUGCAGACAGCAGCCUUAGACUUUGCUUUAGAGCGGUAUCAUUUCAGAACAUAGGUUUGUUUUUUUUUUUUAAGAUAUCAGAGCAUAGCUGUGUUCUGUUCCCAGCUUACAGAUAGCCUAGGUCAUCUAGUUUUAUGACAGAAACAAAGGGGGAAAAUAGACAAAUAAUUCUUAAGCAGAACUAGGACUAAAAAUUAUAUCCAGCUUACCAGAAGUAAUCUGGGGGAAAAUUAAUGCCCUGCUUUACCCCUAGACAGCUUGCAUCCUUGUAGCUACUGGACAUAUCAAUAUAGUAGGAAAAACAUCACAACAAAGGCAUGAUGAUGGAAAAACUAACACAAUAGAAAGAAGCUACAAAAAAGGGGAAAAGAUUGCUCACCAGCAACAGAAGAUUCUAUGAUUACAAGGGAAAGCUCUCAAAAGGAGGGAUCUCCAAAGAGAGAUCAUUCCUCACUGGCAGUCAGCCCUUAAAUGAGGUCUAAGAGAGGUGCAGCCAGGCUCCACCCCUUUUGGUCACACACCUGAAUUGCCUUCAUCUGUGCUCCCAGGGCUGACUGGGUCCUUUCCCCAGGUGCUCAAUCAGUGGUUCAUGCCAUUACUCAGCAGUUCCCAUACAACCAUCAAGGCCAUCAGGAGUUGACGUUGAUACAACUAAAUACAUGCCAUGCUUUUUGCUUAAAUGUUUCUUGAAUAAAUAAUACACCCAGUGAAAACUUCUAGAGAAGCAUUAGAAAGAGCUGUUCUAUACCAGGGACUGUACUUUAUCCUUAUGGGUCCCUUCCGACUCAGAACGUUCUACACUUCUGAUUUAUUUAUUUGUUUAUUUUGUACAGAAGGAAAAGCCUACUUGUCUGUUUUUCUGUGAUUGUGUUGUUGGCUUCUGUUUUAUUUUUUUCUUCCUUUAUUUCUCAACUCUGCCCUUCCCUGCCCCUCCCCUGCAACAUGUGCAUUUCAGUGAGUCUGAAAUCUCGAAGGAAUCAGAUAACCCUUCUGUUACUCCAGCUGUUGAUGGGAAUUCAUGGUCUGCAUGUCUGAGUUACGCAGCCACCUCCACCGAGGACAGUUCCAUCUUUUCUCAGGGCUAUGACGUGACACCAUUUCCAAGUGUUUCUUGUAACUUGAAACCUGAUAAUGGGUAGGAAAAUGGAAAAGAGUCAUCUCCGCUUUUGGCACUCGAGGUUUCUGUUUUGCCAGUCACCUUCCUUGUUUUUCUUCUUUGCCUCUCAUUCUGUGUUUUCAGUUAAAAAACAGUGAAGUAAAAUCUUUGGGAGAGAUCUUUCAGUAUCUCGUAUUCGAUCUUUUCCACUGAGAAAGAAAUCUACCUGGUUGUGAUCACUGGAUGAUUUCUGGGUUUUUGUUUUGUUUUGUUUUGUUUUUUGCUUUUUUGUUUUGUUUUGUUUUUUAAUACAUGUACACAAUAGGAAGAUGGUAAAAAUCCUCAGGAUGUAGAAGAAGAGCAGAGCAUCUUUUGGAGAGCACUGGUAGAUGAACUGCUCCAGUUGUCUCUGUAAGGACGAUAUUGUACUGCUCUCCUCAGGGCAAAGUUCUGCCUGAAAAGAUUUCUUGAACACUAAAAUAUGUUGUUCAGGAAUUGCUGUUAAUUUUACUUGCUGGCAAUCCUUUCUAUAGCAAUUACUAUGGCCAUAGCAGUCCUCUGUACAUCACCUUUAUAUCUGUUCUUGAUGCUGAAGCUUUGAUUGUGAGUGCCAAUAACAUACACACAAAGUCUGUUAUGAGCUUCCUUCCUCUCAGAACUCCCUUGUAUUCACAAAUACAAAUUAAGGGAGAGCCAUGUUGCUCCUAUCCAAACUGCCUAUCCCUGACACACCCAGCUGAAGCUGUCUCGAGCUCAGUGUUUCAGGAAGGAAUUUCAAUUUUUCAUAAAAUUUCUUUACUAUUUUUAGCAUUAAUCGCGUGGACAUCAGCAACACUUCUGUGAACCUGUCCUCCUUUUUGACUCAGACCUGCCUCAGAAGCUUAGAGUUUUCCAAACUAUUACUAAGUGUUGCAGGCACUUUCCAAGUAAUACGUAAGAUCAGUGUGAUGUUUAUUCAUGUUUCCCCCGUGUUCCAGAAAGACCUCUGUAGUGAUCUUUAAAGCAAAACCUGUUGUAGUACGUCCAAUUCUACCUCUAGUUCCCCAUUUCUGUUGUCAAACCAGGUUGUUAAACUAUGAGUGAGGGUGAGUUUCUCCUAAUUUGCUCCACGCUCCCUGCAUGUUGACUUUAUUGGGACUUUUGCUUAUGGAGGUCUUUCAUUGCUGGGAGUUCCCUGGCAUAGCAUUUGCACGGUCAUCAAGGCAAGGUGUAUACUGACGCUAAGGACACCGGGCUGGCGGCAGAGCACAGGCCAUUUCUCAUACUAUUUGGACUAUUUGGACUUUUAUAGGGUGUAACUUUUGGACUAUCUCUGGCAGAUGUAAUGAAGAGAAUUAUGUUUCAAGUUGCACGUUGUUCACCAUCAGGAUUUCAAUGUGAAUAAUAAUAGGCACUUGUAGUUCACAUGUAGCUUCAUUUCUAAAAUAGGAAAUAGUAUUUUCCUUAGAGAAAAUCACCAGAAUGAUGAAGGUAAGUUCCGAUUAAAUAGGUUAAUUAGGUUAAUAGGUUAGACAGAGCAAAGAUCAACAAAACUCAAUUAUUGAAGUUUCAAGACCAACAGAAAGAAGUAUUGGCAGAGAUUUUAAAGUACUAGUGUCUAGUCUCUGCGUGGUUUGGAACAGGUUCAGCUUCAGAAGAUAAUCUGAGAAAUGAGUAGAUGCAAAGGGCAGUCCUUAAUGUUCUAAUGCAGCAAUUCAGGUUUUUCUGAGGAACCUUUCACUUCUCAGGAACGGGAAUGGUGCUCACUUCUGAACUCAACUUUCUCAUUCAGAGUCUUUUCCCUACCUUUGGAGGGGUAUUCAGAGGGUUUUCCUAAAUGACACUAAUACAUCCAAAGGGCUGAAAAUGAGCAAGCAUAAUUGUCCUUUUAUCUUUCAUGUGCUGUCAUCCUAACACAAAUCCACAGGAAUUUUGGCAGCUUUUUGUUGUUGUUGUUGUUGAGAUGACACCACCAGUCUUCUGGAGAAUUUCAAAGCAUUUAAACUGAUAUAUUUCACAAGUAAUCACAGCUGCCAUGCCCUUCCUAAAACUUACAUAAAGAUUUUAAAAGAGUAUACGUAGCUCUGCAUGUUUUUGAAACAAAAUAAAGUUUAUUAUAGUUAAAGUGGAGACGUAGCGUGGGCUUUAGCUCCAAUUGCAUCAUUAGUCCUGCCUACAUUAUUCAAUAUACUUCAGUUGUCAUACGUAUGUUGCAAAACCUAAAGUGUGCAGGGAACAAAUCUGGCCAUUAAAUUUACAUAACGCAUAGUGACAUUUCUCUGGACUGUGGGCAAACACAGGAAAAACAAAACUUACACUUCAGAAAGCCAUCUACAAAUGCAAGGAAAAAAUAGAUUAAGCACAAGGACUGUACUGUAAGAACUAGUGAGGAAAAUCUUUUACUCCAUUUUUAGGCAAGGUUUAUUGCAGGUAACUGGACUGUAGAGUGUAAAAAGCUGAAAUACCAGCUUGGAGUUUUAGGAAGAAGAUAAAAAGCUUUAAGACAUUAUUUGAGGUUGAUUAAACAUGUCAACAGUGUGGAAGAAAAGAGCGCAAAGCCCUUAUAAGUGCAAACAUAAAAUAUUGCAAGUGUUAUGGUAUUAGAUAAAAUAAAACAUAAAAAUAAUUUCAGGUCUGCAUCCUGGCUACUAAAACUGCACUUAUUUUCCAUUUGCAAUACUAUCAUUUAAGGAUAUAAAGACUUUUAUUUUAAGGGAGAUUAAGCAGGAUACAACAGGAAGUCAAGCACUAAACAGUUGUGAUGCCAUAUUGUUGUUUAAAAGAGGGAUUAAGUAGCAUAGAGGAAAGGCUAAGUCAGGGCUCAAACGAGUGAUUGAGCACCUGGUGGGAAGGCAGGGCCAACCCAGGGGAGCUCAGGUGCAUGUAAUGUAGCUAAAUGACUGGGAGUGGUGGACCCGGGAUAUACCCCUUCCCAGCCCUCAUUUAAGGGUUGGCAGUGGAAGGAUGGGUAUCUCUUGUUGGAGGUCCCUGUGAAUCUAUAGUCUUCUGAAGGUAAGUGGGGUUUUCCCCUUUCUUUUGUUUUUGUGCCUGUAGCUGUUGUGUUUGAGCAAAUCCUCACUUGCUGGGGCCUGGGACCUUGCUGCUCUGCUGUUGUUGCUGUGCUUUCUUUCUGUUGUGUUGUAUGUUCACAUACAGCUCUUAAGUAAAGUUGAGUUUUAGAUAAGUUCACCCUGCUUAAUUUCUCUCUGGGAGGAAGUGUAAAGGUUGAGUGAAUAAUUAAGUGAAUUCAGUUUCAGUCUGUACUAAACAGAUGUAACUUGCUGAGACAAACUGCUGAUGUAUUGAACUUCUCUUGUACAGGAAUCUGCUGAGUAACUUAUUCAAAAUACCAUAUGGGUAAAUGCUCUGUUAAACCCAAUCUCUUUUAGAGAGAAGCUGAAGCAGUAAACAGUUGAGAGGAUUUUGUUUUUCCUGUCAAGUACAAGUUUCAUUCUAUUUUUUUUUUAGGAUCAGAGCUUCUGUCUCUGUCAGUUUAGAUAAAUCUUCAUAUUUAUUUAGUCUGCUAUGUGGAAAAAAUGUUGAUUGAACUGCUGUGUAUGUUACAGAAGCACCUGAGGAUGCUGUCUGCCUCUUUCUAAUGCUUUUAAUGGUAUGUUUUUUUUUUCUCCCUAAUGAAAACAAGGUGUAAAAGAGAUGUUGAAAUACUGUCUGCAAUGAAGAGAAAUUACCUGGACACCUUUCAGCAGAAAUUGCUGUGUGCAAGCUGAUGUCUUUUUCCUUCUACAAAGGAUUUUAACAACCUUGUUGCAUAGGACUUAAAGAAAUCAAAUGUAUGGACUUUUUUCUGUAUAUGCUUUUGUGAAUUUCCUGCUGUCUUGCUCUGUGGCCUUUUUGAAAUUAAGAGUUUUGGUAUUUGUGCUCCUGACUAAAAUUAAUGUGAGACAUAGUUUGAAUACCUAUAGUUAAUUGUUCUUUUACACACUCUGCCUUGAAAAUAGUUUUUAUUUGUGUAGGGGGCACGGUAUGCAUUUAUGAAAGUUAAUCUCCAUAAUUAACAAAGCCUUCUCCUAUUGUCUAUUAAACUUUCUUGAACUCUUCACAUGGUUGAGCAGAGGUUAGAAAAGAUUGAAGUUAUCCGAGAAUCUUCUGUCAAAUAAUCUCUGUAUGUAGAAGGGUAUGUACACAUAGGAUAGGAAUUUCAACUAACAGAGCAGAGUCAGUAAGAUUUUGCUCACUUAGUUUGUUCCACUUUGUAUCUUGAUUCUUAUUUGUCAAGUCUUAAUGAAGCCUUAAUGUGUUCUAAACAAGCAUGUAGAAACUUGCUGUUUCUUUGAGAAAUUGUGUUAAUGAUCCCUGCACGCUCCUUUUGCACAAUGAGCUGUCUGUCCCCCGAGAGGGACAAAAAUACUCUCCGGACUUUUGAGUUCUUCUAGGAUAUCUUCCAGCACAAUUGGUUCAGCCCAUAUUUACAGGAAGGAAUAUGGUUGCUUAUGCUGAUGUUCAUAUGCAAUUACUUGGAUGCAAGGCUUCUUGUGCUGUGAACGUACGAGGCUGCCAAGCAGAGAGCACAUGAAAAAGUAAUUGUUUGUUUGGAUGGUGUGGCACGAUACCGCAGCUCUUCAAAGCAUUAUGUGCACAGUACAGAUACAGAUGUCCCGAGUGUUUCACCUCAUUCACCCAACUGCACUUGAAGAUGUCCUUGGAAUGAGGAACACUUCAAAGAUUCAAGUCCAAGUUUCAAGUUCAUUGUGGUUGUUGAAGAGCACCAGUGUUUAAGCACUUUACUCCAGGCCUCUCUUUGGUUCUGAAAGCAUCAGAUAACAGCUGCAAGCUUUAAAAAGCAGCUGGAUAUAAGUGAUGUACCCUAUAAUCUGUUCAAAGCCUUUUGUACUGUAACACUUCUGUCUUUGAAACCAAUAAUCUCUUUUUUUUUUUGUUUCAAACUUUUUGAUGGAUUAUGUUUCUUGGAAUUGCCCAGACUCUCCAAACUGAGGUUUGUUUUGAGGAACUGUAGGGGCUGGGUUUUAAUUUGUCCCAGUUUUCUCCUCUUGCUGUAUUAUGCAAGCUUCUCAUUUUGUGUUUAUACCAUUAAGAUAUUGCUUAGGAAUACUAUUACUUGAAUAGUUCUGGAGAUCAAAUUGCCCAUGGAAAUACCACAUGCGAUAAUGCUGUUAUACUCUGAUUAUAUUAUAUGCUAUUGUGUAUUGUAAUUAGACAUAUUUUAAAAUAGUAUCCCCUAAGGCCAAUGAAAUCAUGUAAUUCACAACUACUAGGUUAUCCUAAGCAGUCUGAAGGUUCUGGAUGAGUAGACCAGCUCCUGGAAGUCAGUUUUGUGGGAGACCUAUUGGACAACCCUGUGGCGAAAGCUGCUGGCAGCUACUACUGUCUGGGAAAUUGGUUAUAUAAUGUGUGAUGGAGUUUAAAGGGCCCAAGGGUAGCAUUUUCCUAAUGAUAGGGAAUAAAACUGCCCAUAGGAAUACUGAGGAGCUGGAGGUAGGAAGCGGUUCCAGUGUUGAGAAUGUUUUGUCGUAGUUCUGACUGUAAGUCUUCUCUCAGGAAGAGAGGUGGAGUGGUUGGAUAUGUUUGUAGCUGCAUGCUGUUAUCUAAAACUACUUGUAUUUUUUAUGUAGACAAUACUUUGGAGCAAUUUCUAUGAAGUUAUGUGUUAAGCAUUGUUAUUAAUUGUAAGCAGUUGUUUGUAAUGCUUUGAACUAAGUAAAAUCACCUUCAGGUGAUUUUUCUUUUUUUCCCCACUAGUAUUGCUUCUACACAUCCAUAAUGGUACUAUGCUGAUACAACCUAUCUGAAUGAAGUGAAAUAAUGCUUCCUUUGCAGUGUUCAGAGUGCAGGCCUUAAUCAUCCUUAAUUUCUAAGUCUAAUCCUCAAGUUAGAACAAGUAUUUUUUUAAUCUUCUUGUGCAACAGAUAAGCUUCUUGUAGAACCACUAUUGCUGAAUGAGAAAUACCACCCUGGAUGUUUUGCAGCCCUCUCAGGGUGACUGAGGAAACUGUUAAAGACAUGGAAGUGGAUUGCUACUUGUGGCAUACUAGCAUGUAACACCGAUCUGUAACAGUAACUCCAUCACUAAAAAUCUUGGCAGGAAUGGUUGUGGUAACUGAAGUGUAAUGUAAAUGUAUCAAAAUGAUAGGAAUUAAUUUUGAAUUACACUUUCAUUUAGUUUUGUUCUAAUAACUUAAUUUUACUAGUAAAGAGUUUAAAACUAAGAACUUCAAGGCACGUUUUCACAAGUUUGUUCUUGAAACUUGGGGAAAUAAUCUCCGUGCUCCUGAUCUGUGUAGGAGUUCUUGCAUGAGGAGUAGUGGAUUGAGUUCCCUCAGGUUUAAUGCCAGAGUUAACUGAAAGCCCAGAGACAAAAGCUUUGUCGUUGUUUCUGAGGCUGCACUUCUGAUUCAUUCUGUUCGCUAAUUCACUGUGUCUUGAGAAUGCUGAUCCCAGAUCAGAAUAUGAGCUUGAAAAUGCUGUAACAUUAAAAUCACAGUUGAGAUAGUGGGUAUAUUUCUGCUCCAUCUAUAGUGUUCAAGACUAAUAGGCUUGUUUUUUUUUCCAACCCACUAUAGUAAGAUAAUUCAGCAGAAACUUCUAAUUAGCUUUUAUAUUUUACUCCAAUGCUGCUGUUGUCUAUAGGGCAGUAGAAGUAAGCUGUUUUACAGAGUUUAUACUGUCUGUGGUAUUAGAUCUACAGAAUUUAAUACAGUGCUCUGCUGUCUCACUAUAAUCUUGCUGUGGUUUCCCCCCCCCCACACACACACGCACAUCUUAGUAAAUAAAUCCAAAUGCAGAAUUGAAUAGUUAAAACCUCUUAUGUGGCAACUGAUCAUGCUGAAUGACCCAGCAAAAAAAGUCCUGAGCUUGAUGAAUGAAAAAUAUACCUGUAAAGAGAACUUCAUCUUGUUUCAGUGAUUUUACCUUAAGUGUGUUUCUAAACUCCUUGUGAUAGCGUGUCUAACACUUGUGAAUUUAAAUGUGAAGAUUAAGAUUCUACUUAGCCCUUCUUGUAAUGUCAUUGCUAAUGAGGAAUUUCCAGAGCUGUGUCAUGGUUCUUAUUUUUUAUUGGUAUUCCAGAUCACAACAUCAUAUAGUGUACUGGGAGUUAAAGUGUUAAUGCUCCAGUCCUGUGGAUCAUUGCUACUUCUGGGUAUAGCUGCCUCGGAAGAGGAGGAGAACUACAUACCCCAGAGGACUGUUCACUGUUUAGUUUCUGGUUUUCAUUCAGAGGGAAAGACAAAACUGUUCACAGACCAAGAUGUUCCCUCUUCCCUUUCUUCUCAUCUCUGCAGUGUGUGUGCUCCCCAGCUGUCUUGUCUGCAGCAUUAGAGUAAGGCCUUCAGUUUUUUGGACACAUUUAAUUUGUUUAGUAUUCAUUUUAUUUAUUGGCCUCAAUUACAAUUCUAUUGUAUUAUUUUGUGUUACCUCGCAUUCUGAUAUCAUAUUUAGUAAAUUAACUUUCCUCCUC